GGUGUCCCUCUCUCUCUCUCUCAAAGGGUAAACCCUACUACUUCUUCCUGGACAUCUUCUUCUAUAGAUUCGCACUAGUCAAAGACUCUCCGCUCGCUUGAAUCAGGUCAAAUCUAAACUUUGCAUUUCCAAAUCUCUCAUUCAAUUGCAUCACAUAGUCGACGCUUGUAUGUAUUGUCUAAUCCAUAGAUGGAUUGAUCGACUGGUGUUGUAUCUAUUACUGAUUAUUUUGAGGAUUAUUUAAGUAAUUACGUCUCUGUGUUUUGAUCUGGAAGCAGAGAUCCAGGCUAUGAUGUUGGGGGUUUUAAGGAGAAGAGUUACCACUGGAGGCUCAUCUUCUUCGAUUUUGAGGCAGUCCUUGCAGAGCAUUCGACCUGCGGCAUCUACCCCUAGAGUUUGCUCUCUUCCUGAGAAGGAGAUUUUACUUCAUCCAACUCCAAGAGGUUUUGGGCAUGUCUGUUACUUCAGCCACCUCAUUUCACCUGGUCGUUCGGUUAGUUCAGGGCUCAUGAGGUUAGUGACACCAUUCUAUGGAAAAUUCUUGUAUACAAUUAUACAGCAGGACAUAUAUAUUUAAUUAUACACUCAACCAACUAAAAUGUAGGAAACUAUAUUAUAUAGUGGGACCACUAUAUUUUGUAGUAGGAUAUGAUGUGUCAAUUAAUUGGACUAAGUGUAUACACGCUGGUGUAGGUGAGAAGUUAUCCCAUUUUAUUUUUAUGAUUUUGAUGGAAGUGUCUUUUGAGGAGGGCUUUUAGAAUGAUGAUUUAGGAGGCAAAUUGGACUGGGAUUUAGAAUCAUGCUUUUAUAAUGAAUAAGGAAACAAACUAGUAAAUGGCAACCCAGGCUGCCACACCAGGUCACCAAGGUUUUGAAGUUUCUACACUGGUCAUUUAAGUUUACAGACUUUAUAUGAGUCUAUAAUCAAUCAACUGCAAAAGCGUUCUAGAAGAGUGCUCAUGCAAUGCAGCCAUAGACAUCAUAAGAAGCGGCCAUUUUCUCUCUCAAAUAGAGUCUCCUGGCUAAAGCUGGCU
rnacentral:misc_RNA from 1 species